rnacentral:rRNA from 1 species
UACGGGGGGAGCAAGCGUUGUUCGGAUUUACUGGGCGUAAAGGGCGCGUAGGCGGUCGUGACAAGUCACUUGUGAAAUCUCCGGGCUUAACUCGGAACGGUCAAGUGAUACUGUCGGACUAGAGUACAGAAGGGGCAACUGGAAUUCUCGGUGUAGCGGUGAAAUGCGUAGAUAUCGUAAGGAACGCCAGUGGCGAAAGCGAGUCUCUGGGCAGCAUCUGACACUGAGGCACGAAGGCCAGGGGAGCAAACGGG